GAUGAACGCUAGCGGCAGGCCUAACACAUGCAAGUCGAGGGGGAAGUUACUUUCGGGUGACUGAGACCGGCGUACGGGUGCGUAACGCGUAUACAAUCUGCCAUUCACUGGGGGAUAGCCCGAAGAAAUUUGGAUUAAUACCCCAUAGUAUAUAGGGACGGCAUCGUUUUUAUAUUAAAGCUUAGGUGGUGAAAGAUGAGUAUGCGUUCUAUUAGCUAGUUGGAGAGGUAACGGCUCCCCAAGGCGAUGAUAGAUAGGGGUUCUGAGAGGGAUGUCCCCCACACUGGUACUGAGAUACGGACCAGACUCCUACGGGAGGCAGCAGUGAGGAAUAUUGGACAAUGGUCGGAAGACUGAUCCAGCCAUGCCGCGUGCAGGAUGAAGGUCUUAUGGAUUGUAAACUGCUUUUGUAAGGGAAGAAUAAGGGCUACGCGUAGUUUGAUGACGGUACCUUACGAAUAAGCAUCGGCUAACUCCGUG
rnacentral:rRNA from 1 species